rnacentral:rRNA from 1 species
GGUUAAGCGACUAAGCGUACACGGUGGAUGCCCUGGCAGUCAGAGGCGAUGAAGGACGUGCUAAUCUGCGAAAAGCGUCGGUAAGGUGAUAUGAACCGUUAUAACCGGCGAUGUCCGAAUGGGGAAACCCAGUGCAAUUCGUUGCACUAUCGUUUGAUGAAUACAUAGUCAAACGAGGCGAACCGGGGGAACUGAAACAUCUAAGUACCCCGAGGAAAAGAAAUCAACCGAGAUUCCCCCAGUAGCGGCGAGCGAACGGGGAGCAGCCCGGAGUCUGAAUCAGCUUGUGUGUUAGUGGAAGCGUCUGGAAAGUCGCAGGGUACAGGGUGAUACUCCCGUACACUAAAACACACAGGUUGUGAACUCGAAGAGUAGGGCGGGACACGUGGUAUCCUGUCUGAAUAUGGGGGGACCAUCCUCCAAGGCUAAAUACUCCUGACUGACCGAUAGUGAACCAGUACCGUGAGGGAAAGGCGAAAAGAACCCCGGCGAGGGGAGUGAAAAAGAACCUGAAACCGUGUACGUACAAGCAGUAGGAGCCCACUUGUUGGGUGACUGCGUACCUUUUGUAUAAUGGGUCAGCGACUUAUAUUCUGUAGCAAGGUUAACCGUAUAGGGGAGCCGCAGGGAAACCGAGUCUUAACUGGGCGUUAAGUUGCAGGGUAUAGACCCGAAACCCGGUGAUCUAGCCAUGGGCAGGUUGAAGGUUGGGUAACACUAACUGGAGGACCGAACCGACUAAUGUUGAAAAAUUAGCGGAUGACUUGUGGCUGGGGGUGAAAGGCCAAUCAAACCGGGAGAUAGCUGGUUCUCCCCGAAAGCUAUUUAGGUAGCGCCUCGUGAAUUCAUCUUCGGGGGUAGAGCACUGUUUCGGCUAGGGGGUCAUCCCGACUUACCAACCCGAUGCAAACUACGAAUACCG